GACGAACGCUGGCGGCGUGCUUAACACAUGCAAGUCGAACGGAAAGGCCCCUUUGGGGGUCCUCGAGUGGCGAACGGGUGAGUAACACGUGAGUAACCUGCCCUUGACUUCGGGAUAACUUCAGGAAACUGGGGCUAAUACCGGAUAGGAAUCCUUGCUGCAUGGUGGGGGUUGGAAAGCUUCGGCGGUUUUGGAUGGACUCGCGGCUUAUCAGCUUGUUGGUGGGGUAGUGGCUUACCAAGGCUUUGACGGGUAGCCGGCCUGAGGGGGCGACCGGCCACAUUGGGACUGAGAUGCGGCACAGACUCCUACGGGAGGAAGCAGUGGGGAAUAUUGCACAAUGGGCGGAAGCCUGAUGCAGCAACGCCGCGUGCGGGAUGACGGCCUUCGGGUUGAAAACCGCUUUCAGCAGGGGCGAAGCUUGUGGUGACGGUACCUGCAGAAGAAGCACCGGCUAACUACGUG
rnacentral:rRNA from 1 species